rnacentral:rRNA from 1 species
UACAGAGGUCCCAAGCGUUGUUCGGAUUUACUGGGCGUAAAGGGUGCGUAGGUGGUGAGGUAAGUCUGAUGUGAAAUCUCCGAGCUUAACUCGGAAAUGGCAUUGGAAACUACCUUGCUAGAGGGUUGGAGGGGGGACUGGAAUACUUGGUGUAGCAGUGAAAUGCGUAGAUAUCAAGUGGAACACCAGUGGCGAAGGCGAGUCCCUGGACAACUCCUGACACUGAGGCACGAAAGCUAGGGGAGC